CUCAGAGUAACAUCACAAGCAUCAUAUUCACCUGAGUACAUUACACCAACACAGAAAAAUCGUGAGCGGAUUAAAUUAGGAUUUAUGUUUCCUGUUCACCGCCCGCGUCUCCCACAAAUAUAAAGUAUUUUCAGCUGCACUCUAACAUAUAGUGUGUAAUUUUACUUUGGUAUGAAGUUGACAUUUACGUGGCGACUGUUGAGGUCAUGAUUAGAACAAGCUGAACAAUUAGGAACUGCUCAUAAUUUAAUAAGAAGGAGGGGAGAUAGAAACAGUAUUGGGGGGACAUUUUUAUCUAGCAAAGACAGGACAGUUAAUAAAAGGAGUGGGUUAUAUGUUUCAGAAUGUUUCGGUGCUCCACCUAAAUCUGCUGGCAACCCAUCUCAAAUUUUGUUUCAGUUGUAUCGUUUUCAUGCACCCGGCAGAAACAUGCUCAAAUGGCUGUAUUAAACGCUACUGCUGCACUCAGAUAAAUUCUUGUAUGUAUAAUAUUCAUAACGGUAGACUUAUCAAUUCAUGACCGGCAGAGUAAAAUCUUAAAGCGUUAUUAAAGCGUUGUAGAUAUUUAAAAUACAAAUGUUUUUAAUGUCAGUAAGUCAAUAAAAAUGCCAUUUUAUAGCCGCGAGUAUGAGAGGAGGUGGCUGAC